rnacentral:piRNA from 1 species
UUAAUGUGAAUGAAAAAAAAA